UACAGAGGUCCCAAGCGUUGUUCGGAUUCACUGGGCGUAAAGGGUGCGUAGGCGGUCGGGUGAGUCUGGCGUGAAAUCUCCAAGCCUAACUUGGAAACUGCGUUGGAUACUAUCCGGCUCGAGGAAUGGAGGGGAGACUGGAAUACUUGGUGUAGCAGUGAAAUGCGUAGAUAUCAAGUGGAACACCAGUGGCGAAGGCGAGUCUCUGGACAUUUCCUGACGCUGAGGCACGAAAGCCAGGGGAGCAAACGGG
rnacentral:rRNA from 1 species